ensembl:lncRNA
AUGUUAAAGGGAAGGCUGUAUUUUUCUAGAGUUCUGCACUUUAGAUGGUGCUGUUUUGGAAUACAUGUAUGCUUUCUGGUUAGUUUCCUUUUGGUUUUCAUGAAGGUCUCAGUGCAUAUAGUGGCAAACGGAGUAAUCUGGACAGUGUUCUUCAGAGAACCUUAUUCAAUGCUUUGUUAUUUCAUGAAGGUCUCAAUGCAUAUAGUGGCAAACGGAGUAAUCUGGACAGUGUUCUUCAGAGAACCUUAUUCAAUGCUUUGUUAUCUGUGUGGAACUUAAUUUUUAAAAUUAGCUUUAUUUUUGGGGGAAGGACAAUGUAAUUCCAUUAUCCUUGUUCUGUGCUCUACAGUUGCUUCUACAAGUAGUGGUCGUGGUCAGUGCUGAACCUGGCUGGCCAUGACUGGAGAGGAGCUAGCACCCAGGGCAAGCAAGAACUUGGCAAAGGAGAAACUGGGAGUUGUUACCUCAUAAAUGUCUAAAGUUUUCCAGAAUCUGAACUUUCCUGUGCUCUAAAUUUGAUACUACUUCUCUUCAUGCCCUUUAUUCUAUUCCUGAGAGGAGGUAGGGAUCUUUUCUCUUGGAAGGAAUAUUAACUUGGUCUCUUUUGGGGAAAGAGUAAACAGUAAUCCUUGAACCUCUGGAAUGGAAAAGGACAUAAUGGGUGGUGUAGGUGAUGAUAUCUAGGCAGAUUGGCAGACAAGAGGCAUUAACACUGUAAUUUCAUGAAAUGGCAUGUAUUUUUAUUUAUGUAUUUUUCUUUUUUCUUUUUUUUUUUUCUUUUUUUUUCCCCUGUGGUUUCCAGAGGCUUGCAGUAAAUGAUUUAUCCACUGUACUCGUUCCCUGUGCUGGCAGAGCUGUAGCAUAGUGCACUGACUGGGAAGCCUAAUUUUUAGGCUGGCCUUGGACUCUUCCAGAUCCUCAGGAGGAGGGGUGAGUUGAUGGGGAUUUGCUUGUCUGUUUAAAUGAUGCAAUACAUUACCUCUCCUUCCUGACAUAGUUCUCUGAAAACUGCAUACAGCAUAAGAAGUUACCUUUUUCUUGGUUUUCAGAAAGCUUCUGAUAGGAAGGAAACAAAUACAGUUUGAAUGUUUCUAUCUUUACACUACUUCAAACCAGGCACAAAAUCCAGAGAACAAUGUAUUAACUCUUGAGUCUUCAUUUGAUGCUGUAACCUUUAGUUUGUCGUGACGGAGGCUGGCACAUCCUUUCUCCUGGAUGAAGUUUGUUGCAAAACCAAGUUUGAUUAAGAAGCAGCGGGAGAAGAGACAUAGAGAAGCUGUGGUCAUCCUAUCAGUUUGAAGGGCAGGUGGGUUUUUAAUACUUCUUCCAGUCUCUUUGAAUGUUUGGAAAGGAGAAGAAACCUUCAAAUAUUUUAGGCAAAACACAGUAAUUUUUCCUAGAAUAGUCUGUUGGGUAAGUAAACCUUGCUUCUGGCUUGCUGGAAUCUUGUCUUUGACUAAGGUUUAACUAAGCAGUAGAUAGGGAGGAUUGAUUGUUUUAGAAUUUUAAGUAGCGUGUGAGCAGGAAAGAAAUGUAGCAACCAUCAUUCUGUUAGUGAAAUUUUUCCAAAUGCAUUUGUACCCUAGCAGUAGAAAGUAUAAGUAGUAGAUUAAGAUAUAAGGUCUCUGGCAUUUGGCAGAGAUUUUCCAGAAUAAUCAUCCCUGGAAGUAUUCAAAAGGCAUGUGGGUGUGGCACUUGAGGACAUGGGUCAGUGGUGAACACAAUGGUGCUGGGUUAAUGGUUGGACUCAAUGAUCUUAGAAAUCUUUUCUAAUCUUUGUGGUUUUAUGAUUCCUUGAUUUAUGCCAAGGGUAGAAAUAAAUGCCUAAUUCUUAUCUAAGACAAGCUCCACAAAGAACUUAAAUUUUCUCUCGGGAAUGUAGGCAAAGGUCAAUUAUUUUUUUGUUAUCCUGGUAGACCUCUAACCAGAAACACCUAUGAAAGUUAGUGACGAUAGCAGCAGAAGUUUUUUUUUUAAAAAAACCCACAACCUUCCACCAAACCAGUGCACCCCAAAGCAUGACAAAACUUUCAAUAGUGCAGAGUGCCAGAGAAAUCACCUGGGACAGGUUUUCAUGUGGUGCCUGAUGUAAUGCUGUGUUGGUUUAUUAUUCUCUCAGAACGUUACAAAAGAACACAGUGCUGGUUUAUUAUUCUCUCAGAACGUUACAAAAGGUUAAAGGGACCAAAAUCGUUCUCUGAGACAGAACUCAGUCCUUUUGUGCCUGCUGCCCAGUUAUGUGCUAACAGCCUACGUGCCAACAGUGUGGGAGUAUAAAGCAGCCAUAAAAAUUAUUUUGCUUGACUCCUCUGCUUCUGUCUGGCAUGUAGAGAGAGAUGCAAGUUAUGGUUGCUAGACUAUCCUUUCUGUCAGCUGUUUUCAGACAAUAUGGAUGUAUUCAUGUUUAUAACCAACUUGAGCAGAAUAAUGCAGCUGCAGACUGUUAUAUUCUGCCUUAGAGCAGAAAUCCAAGCCUCCACAGCUAGAAUUCAUUUCUGGGAUUUUUUUUCUGAUCCCACCUCCACCUCUUCUUGGGCUGUCACUUGCAUGUGAUGAGAAGGCUGAUUACCUUAUGUUAGCAGUUUUAGGCUCUGGUAAAAUGAGUCAAGCUUCUGUUACCAUUCCCAUGAAGCUGUCCAUCUACUGGGGGUGCAGAGAGCAGAGCCGUUAGAAUUGGUUGGGCAGGUGGUGGAGAAUAGUUGAACACCUGCAGGAAAUAAAACCUACAUCAGAGCUGCUUCAAGGCAAACAGUAAGUAUUCCCUUUCCCAGCAGCCUGACUGAAGAACCUUCGUUUACAGACGUAGAGCACACAAGGUAAUGUUUUCAUUUUUAAUUAAAUACAAUUUUUCUUCAAGAAGCUGCUUUUGAGGGGGAGUUUCAGCCAUGACCUAAGCAACACUGAGAUAUUACAAGCCACUUGUGUUACCACUGUGUUUAAUUUGGUUUCAAACUUUAGAUGAAUGUAGAAACAAAAUAACACUUUAGGAGCCACGGUAGCUGUGAUGGAUGAAAAGCUCUGUAAUAGCUGUCUGGUAAAGAAAUUAUAGGGAUGGUCUUCAUAUGAGACCUCACAUUAAACUGUAUUCAUAUCCUGCCAGAGAUGAAAAAAACAGGAAUUAAAUGCAAAUGCCAAUAAUUAGAUGAGAGGAGUCUUGUAGCUAGGCACCUGCAAGAUGGGUAUUUAGACAUGCUUGAUUAGUGAGGAAAAAAAUAAAAUGUGCAUUAGCAAAGGAAUAUCAGUCACAUGAGAACUGAAGGCUUAAUGCAAAUAAACCCAUUUCAUAUGGUACUUUCCAGGUACUGUUUAAAUUUCAUGUCCUCUGCUAGUUAGUUUCACAGGUUCUGUUGCUUUACUAAAGUGAAAGAAUGGUUCAGAGUAUCCCUGUUGUGUCCAAGCUAGGGUUACAGAAGUAAUUCACACUUCUAUUUUAUGUAUUCAGUGCAAUGAAGUCAUGCAAUGGAUUCAGUUUGGCUGAAAAAAAAAGAAAUCUGAUAUUUGCGUUGCUGUAGCCCUCCAUCAUUCACAUUUGAUCUGUGUGGCAUUUGAUACAAGGUACAGGCAUGGACAACCUGCCUCAAGCUGCUUCAAAGUCUACACAAGAGAGAUCAUCCAAGACAGUAAAUGACGUGUAAUUACAUCUCCAAGAGUUGAAUUUGUGCUUCAGAAUGUAAGAAAGGCUUAAAGGUUUAUUUCAGGUUUGUAAGAUGAAACCUUAUGCUUUAUAUGGUUAACAUCCUAGACUAAAGCAUCUAAUAUAUGGCUUUUCGUUAUCCUACUUCUUACAAGUCCCUUCUCCUAGUGAACUGUCUACAUUCACAGUGUGUUCAUUGACAGCUGUUUUCAUUUUCUAUUAUGCUUAUGUUGCAACCCAUCCCUGAAGGAGGGUAACUGAGGUUCUUGUUAAUAAUACAUCCCUUGGGCUGGAUCAGAGAGAAAUGACACUAGAUGGCCAGUGUUUAUAAAUAUAUAUAUAUGCCAGGUUUAUUUCAGAACAAUUUGUUUGCAAAGGGUAGAAGGUAUGUAGCUGGGUUGAUUAUUAUCUGUAGAAAUAUAACAAUACAGAAGCAUAAAAAUAACAUGUAAGAAAAUGUGUAAAGACAGGAAAAAAGAGAGAAAGGAUAGGUGAAAGGCUUCAGGAAUUAGUUUGAGGGCACUUUGGGGGUCUUUGUGGUUUAUGACACCUAAGACAUAACAGCUGCCUCUCAGGACAGUGUAGUUUAGCCAGUUAUGCCCUGUUGGGAGGGUUGAACACCUUCAGGCCUGUGAAUAUGUGAAUGCCCCCACUUCCAAAGGGUCUUUUUAUUGGCCUUCUCCCUCAUCUGACUCAAACCCCAGCUGUAGCCCCCUCUGCACCUGGGCUGUGACCCUGCACAUUGUCAGCAAAACACCCACUGCUUUUGCAAGUGGCCAAUUGUCCAUUAAGUCUAACAAGCCUAACAGCUUGACAAAUUCCUUCCAGAACAGCUGUUUAGCUAUUGAAAGGUUUUGAUGCAGAGCAGAGGGAAAGAUUAAAAGGGCCUAAGAUUUGGGAUUGUAACAGUCAGACCCACCAGAUGCUCCAGCAAGUGGGAUUUUAGGAUGAACACAGUUUGCUGUAAUAAAUCUUUGUCUUUGCCGCUCUUGAUUGUUUUCCACAGGAGCUAAGGAAACGUUAUCUGGAAUUGCCAGACUUCUGGAAACCUGUUCUGAGAAGGUGAGUGCAGAUAUGCAUGACUGGAAUGGUGUAUUUUGCUCCUCUCUUUGGUAGGAGGGCACAUUCUUUUCAUUAUUUCUUAUGGGAUUAGUCAGUGAGGCUUUCUCUAUAUUCUUACUGGUUAGACCUGCUGGUCGUGGGUAUGUCUCUAAUUUCAGCUCUUUUGCCAGCAUCCAAGAAGACUCUGUAUGUGUGGAUUCCUUUCUCUUGAUUAAAUAGUGUUAUUUUAAAAACAAACAUUAAACUUUUAUGAAAUUAUACUGAUUCCUGAGUGUUGUUUGUU